GGCGCACGGGUGAGUAACGCGUGGAUGAUCUACCCUUGAGUACGGAAUAACGAUGGGAAACCGCCGCUAAUACCGUAUGACAAUCCUUUUCAACGAGGGUUCAAAGAUGGCCUCUGCAUGCAAGCUAUCGCUUGAGGAUGAGUCCGCGUCCCAUUAGCUAGUUGGCGGGGUAAUGGCCCACCAAGGCUACGAUGGGUAGCUGGUCUGAGAGGAUGAUCAGCCACACUGGAACUGAAACACGGUCCAGACUCCUACGGGAGGCAGCAGUGGGGAAUAUUGCGCAAUGGGGGAAACCCUGACGCAGCGACGCCGUGUGAGGGAAGAAGGCCUUCGGGUCGUAAACCUCUGUCAGAAGGGAAGAACCGCCAUGAGUCGAAUAGGCUCUAGGCCUGACGGUACCUUCAGAGGAAGCGCCGGCUAACUCCGUGCCAGCAGCCGCGGUAAUACGGAGGGCGCAAGCGUUAAUCGGAAUCACUGGGCGUAAAGCGCGCGUAGGCUGUUUGAUAAGUCAGGCGUGAAAUCCCUCGGCUCAACCGGGGAACUGCGUUUGAUACUGUUAGACUCGAGUCCCGGAGAGGGUGGCGGAAUUCCAGGUGUAGGAGUGAAAUCCGUAGAUAUCUGGAGGAACACCGGUGGCGAAGGCGGCCACCUGGACGGGUACUGACGCUGAGGCGCGAAAGCGUGGGGAGCAAACAGGAUUAGAUACCCUGGUAGUCCACGCGGUAAACGAUGGAUGCUAGGUGUCGGGGAGCGAUCUUCGGCGCCGCAGCUAACGCAUUAAGCAUCCCGCCUGGGGAGUACGGUCGCAAGGCUGAAACUCAAAGGAAUUUG
rnacentral:rRNA from 1 species